rnacentral:rRNA from 1 species
AAAUUGAAGAGUUUGAUCAUGGCUCAGAUUGAACGCUGGCGGCAGGCCUAACACAUGCAAGUCGAACGGUAACAGAAAGCAGCUUGCUGCUUUGCUGACGAGUGGCGGACGGGUGAGUAAUGUCUGGGAAGCUGCCCGAUGGAGGGGGAUAACUACUGGAAACGGUAGCUAAUACCGCAUAACGUCGCAAGACCAAAGAGGGGGACCUUAGGGCCUUUUGCCAUCGGAUGUGCCCAGAUGGGAUUAGCUAGUAGGUGGGGUAA